rnacentral:rRNA from 1 species
UACGGGGGGAGCAAGUGUUGUUCGGAUUUACUGGGCGUAAAGGGCGCGUAGGCGGCGCAACAAGUCACUUGUGAAAUCUCCGGGCUUAACCCGGAGCGGUCAAGUGAUACUGUCGUGCUAGAGUGCGGAAGGGGCAACUGGAAUUCUCGGUGUAGCGGUGAAAUGCGUAGAUAUCGAGAGGAACACCUGCGGCGAAGGCGGGUUGCUGGGCCGACACUGACGCUGAGGCGCGAAAGCCAGGGGAGCGAACGGG